rnacentral:misc_RNA from 1 species
AGCUUCUUCACCGCGCCUUCGCGGGUCGGCUCAUCGUCGGCAUGACGCCAAAGUUCGGAUUUCCAGACCGAGGCUUUCGACAGAUCCGGCGCUUUCUUCUGGCGCGUUUCCACCACACCGCAACGGAUGUUGGUGCCGCCGAUGUCGACGGCCAGGAUGCUGUCGUGCGCCUCGAAAAUCCAUGAGGGAGCGAGGUGCGCGCAACCGAUCAGUGCCGCUUCAUCGGGAUGAAAAC